UUUAAUCCUCAGAUAAAGAAGAAACCAAGGAUAACGUUGCAACAAUAAAAGUGGAAGUGGAAGCACCGAGUAGGAAGCCAGCAACGCCGACAUUUUUUUUUGUGGAGUAAAUAGGUACAAAUUGAAGGUAAAUGUGUUCAUAUUAAUUUUUAACUCAAAUUAUAUGAAUUUUGUUUUGUUUUGUUUUUUUUUGUAAAAAAUUACAUUUCUCAACAAGACUUUGUUUCUGGCAAUCAAAUCGCUCUAUUCUGAUGGCUUAUAUCCUCAUUUUAAACCCUGUAGGAAUAAAAAGGGCCAAUCACAACGAUGAUGCAGAAGUCUGAAAAGCUUCGCUUUGCAACCUAUCUGACAUGCUUCAUUUGACGAGAUGGAUAUACAAGUCGAGAGUUGUUAUAAAGUUGAGGAAUCUGUCAACUUGGUGGUCAUUCAUAGCCAAGCCAAAUACAAAUACAAGUUGAAUUAAUUUUAGCGUGUGAUAGCAGCACCACAUUCACGUAAUGUGCCACCAUCUUUGCAAUGCAAAGCACUUCUCUUAGCCAGCUACGGAUAGGCGAAAGAUCGCAAUGUAUGCAAGUCCUUCCUCAUCAUGUGAACAAUAGUUAAUUUAAUCUACAGUCAGUUUUUCAAGACAGUACCUACCACCGAGGAUUGGCCAAUUGAUCUGUUUCACUAUGAUCUUUUUUGCAGAAAUUCACAUUUGAAUAUCUUCCAUUUACAUUUUUUGGCGAACUCUGUGAUGUAGUUGGUCUCUGGAAUUCAAUUGAAAUACCUUCCUUCAUUCAUGAUGUAUUGCUUUCAAUGCCGUCAAUAUCUUCAAUUCAAUUCUGCCUCUUGUUACCAACGAAGAAGGAGACAAGUUAGGAAAAUCUGCUGGCGAUGAUAUUUGGCUGGACGAAGAGAAAACGUCGCUUUUUGCUCUUUAUCAGUUCUUUUUGAAAAUGCCAGAUUCUAUAGUGGAGAAUCUUCUCAAGUUGUUCACGUUGUUCAAGUUGUUUUAUCCCACUGGAAAAAAUUGCAUUUCUCAUGGAACAACACAAAAAAAUCACCAGAGAAGAGAAAAGCACAAACGAUUCUAGCUGAAGAUGUGACGUUUCUAGUCCAUUGAGAGGCGGGUCUAAAACAAGCCGAAAAAGUCACAGAAGCGCUCUACAAGGCAAAUGUUGAAGGAAUAGGUGAACUGAAUUACAACUAAAUCCCAUCUUUAAGAUUUUUCCAGAGCCUGGACUAUCCAUUCUUGA